rnacentral:rRNA from 1 species
CAGCAGCCGCGGUAAUACCGGCGGCCCGAGUGGCGGUCACUAUUAUUGGGCUUAAAGCGUCCGUAGCCGGGUUGGGAAGGCCUCCGGGAAAUCUGGCCGCUUAAAGGUCAGAAUGCCGGAGGAUACUCCCAGCCUAGGGAGCGGGAGAGGCCGAGGGGAUUCCCGGAGUAGGGGGGAAAUCCUAUAAUCCCGGGAGGACCAACUGUGGCGAAGGCGCUCGGCUGGAACGCGUCCGACGGUGAGGGACGAAGGCCAGGGGAGCAAACCGGAUUAGAUACCCGGGUAGUCCUGGCGGUAAACGAUGCGGACUUUGUGUCGGACAAGCUAUGAGCUUGUCCGGUGCCGGAGGGAAACCGUUAAGUCCGCCGCCUGGGGAGUACGGCCGCAAGGCUGAAACUUAAAGGAAUUGGCGGG